AUUGAACGCUGGCGGCAGGCUUAACACAUGCAAGUCGAACGAGUGACGGACGGGUGAGUAAUGCCUGGGAAACUGGCUGAUGGAGGGGGAUAACGACGGGAAACGGUCGCUAAUACCGCGUACCAUAGGAUGAGCCCAAGUGGGAUUAGGUAGUGGGGGGGGUAAAGGCCCACCAAGCCGACGAUCACUAGCUGGUCUGAGAGGAUGACCAGCCACACUGGAACUGAGACACGGCCCGGACUCCUACGGGAGGCAGCAGUGGGGAAUAUUGCGCAAUGGGGGCAACCUGACGCAGCCAUGCCGCGUGAAUGAAGAAGGCCUUCGGGUUGUAAAGUUCUUUCGGUGACGAGGCGUUACCCGCAGAAGAAGCACCGGCUAACUCCGUGCCAGCAGCCGCGGUAAUAC
rnacentral:rRNA from 1 species